UACGAAGGGGGCUAGCGUUGCUCGGAAUGACUGGGCGUAAAGGGCGCGUAGGCGGCUUGACAAGUCACUUGUGAAAUCUCCGGGCUUAACUCGGAACGGCCAAGUGAAACUGUCAUGCUAGAGUGCAGAAGGGGCAAUCGGAAUUCUUGGUGUAGCGGUGAAAUGCGUAGAUAUCAAGAGGAACACCUGAGGUGAAGACGGGUUGCUGGGCUGACACUGACGCUGAGGCGCGAAAGCCAGGGGAGCAAACGGGG
rnacentral:rRNA from 1 species